CGGCGCGAUGCGCGGGUUCGGCGCGGUGCAGGCCUGCUACGCCUACGAGUCGCAGAUGGACAGGCUCGCCGAGGCGUGCGGCCUGUCUCCCGUGGA
rnacentral:tRNA from 1 species